GCUGAAGAACCCGUGUUCCCACUCUCCCACGUACACCACCCUUUCAUUGAGGCUGAACAGUUCUGGUACCCAGCCCGCAAUCAGAGGAUUCACACUCAAUAAUUCACCUGAAAUACAAUCAAUCAGUGACACCAGAGUGGCCACGUUCAAGUGGAAGUGAAAAUCAGCAACGUCACCAGAGUGGUCACAUCUAAAAGGAAAAAGUUAAUCCAACCACACUAACCUUGAAAAUGUCUCCUGAACUUGACUUGCCAGUGAGUAGGAGAGUGGAAGCGGUGGUAGUCGCCAGGCGCCAGGUACACCACAGUUUGGUAUAACUCGUUCCUCGGAUCUGUCAGCAACUGGGACUUGUACUCUUCCCAGUUCUCAGUCACGUAGCACUCCUCCUCCACAGGCCUGAACAAGUAUCUCACAAUAUCUAUUCCUCCCCAGUACCCUUCAGGAACUACUCGUUUGUUUUUAUGAGCCACCACCUCGUUGUCGUUCUCGUCCAUCCUGUUGCUCUUUGACCAUCCGGCUGCUACCUCCCGCACGAACUCUAUGUCACAGUCCAUGUUCAGUUCCGGUUUCUUGGCUGUCGGACGCCAGGUUGGCUCCCCCAGGAACCUCUGGAUCUUGUAUGUUACACCCUUAAUCUGUUCCACAUGACAGGAGCAGAUCUUUCCAUUGUUCAGCACUCUGCCGUCUGCUGGAGACACCUUUAAUAACAACCGUACAAUGUCAUGAACUGAGGAUUGAAUAAUGUCAUGAAUUGCUGAUUUUAGAAUCAAAUUCUCUAUCCAUAAUGAAGCUAAGAAACACAAAAUACUAUUGUGAAGAUAAUAAACUAGGUGUUUGCUAAUUAUUCCUGUAAUAGGUGAGUGAAUGCAUUUUCAACUUUAAAAGUAAAUUACCAUCUUAUUUUACCAAAUUUAAUAUGACCUUAAUAUGAGUAUUUAAAAAGCAUAUACUGUACAAUGAAAAAGCUUUUUUCUCCAUAUCUGACCAAUCAUACACAUCUUUCAAAAUCUUUUUCAAGUUGUUGAGAAAUACAACAAGCAUUAGUGUCAUUCUCGUAUAGUAUAUUUUUUAUAAACUUAAACAGUAUCUAGACUGCAGUGUUACUGAUAUAACAAAUAUUUGAGAAUGUGUGUCAAGAAGUACUUAAAAAGCAGUACAGUGAAUUAACUAUACCUACUUUAUUCAUCAAGGUAAGUUCUUCAAAUUUUUAGUAUGUAGUAUGCAAAAUGUGCUCAAAAAACGUUUGCACUUUGUAGGGAUACCAAUGGUUUUGUACCCUUCAUGAUAAAUCUAAACCAAAUUUUAUUUUUUAUAUAAAAUUUUGUAUGUAUAUAAUUUGAUUCUUAUUUGUAUCUCUAUAUUUAUUUUUAAUUGUUUUCUAUAGCUAAUUUUAAACAAAAAUGUUCACAGUGGUGCAAUAAAACUUUAGCUUAGACUACUGUA